GGUAUGUGACUGUAGGUGGAGGUAUAGAGGUAUGGGACUGUAGGUGGAGGUAUGGGACUGUAGGUGGAGGUAAAGAGGUAUGGGACUGUAGGUGGAGGUAAAGAGGUAUGUGACUGUAGGUGGAGGUAAAGAGGUAUGUGACUGUAGGUGGAGGUAAAGAGGUAUGUGACUGUAGGUGGAGGUAUAGAGGUAUGUGACUGUAGGUGGAGGUAUAGAGGUAUGUGACUGUAGGUGGAGGUAUAGAGGUAUGUGACUGUAGGUGGAGGUAAAGAGGUAUG